AGUGAACGCUGGCGGUAGGCCUAACACAUGCAAGUCGAACGGCAGCACAGUAAGAGCUUGCUCUUACGGGUGGCGAGUGGCGGACGGGUGAGGAAUACAUCGGAAUCUACUUUUUCGUGGGGGAUAACGUAGGGAAACUUACGCUAAUACCGCAUACGACCUACGGGUGAAAGCAGGGGAUCUUCGGACCUUGCGCGAUUGAAUGAGCCGAUGUCGGAUUAGCUAGUUGGCGGGGCAAAGGCCCACCAAGGCGACGAUCCGUAGCUGGUCUGAGAGGAUGAUCAGCCACACUGGAACUGAGACACGGUCCAGGCUCCUACGGGAGGCAGCAGUGGGGAAUAUUGGACAAUGGGCGCAAGCCUGAUCCAGCCAUACCGCGUGGGUGAAGAAGGCCUUCGGGUUGUAAAGCCCUUUUGUUGGGAAAGAAAAGCAGCAGGUUAAUACCCCGCUGUUCUGACGGUACCCAAAGAAUAAGCACCGGCUAACUUCGUG
rnacentral:rRNA from 1 species